AAGGAGAGUGAGCUAUUCCGGCCGUCGCUUCACCGUGCCGGCGAAGGAGCAUCGCUGCCGGCCGCCGCCGCGGGGAAGGGACUCGUGCGGGCCUGGAGCUGUGCGGGCCUGUGCGAAACCAGGAUUGAAUAGAGGGACACCGCGGUAGGCUGGGCCAAGGAAACGGCCCGCAAACCCACCUCGUGCGCAAAGAAAAAGCCCAUGACGGCGGCGAUGAUGCCUGGCACCUUGAAAUCCCUCCGCCUUGGCGCCCAACGUAACCGCCCCAACCAACAGCAACAGCUUCCCUCGCCGGAGUCCCCAACAAACCAAGAACCCCCGGCCCUCGCCCUCCCUCCACCGCCACCGCGCAGCAGCCCACCGCCUCCGCCCUCCACCGCCUGCGACGAUGGACCAGUUCCACGACGGUCACCACGUGAGGCUGCGGAGCCGCGUGCAGCGCACCUACCUCCACGCAGCCGACGACGGGGUGGGCGUCACGCUCCACGAGCGCCGCGCCUCCAUGAACGNN
rnacentral:lncRNA from 1 species